rnacentral:rRNA from 1 species
GGUCAAGUGAAGAAGCGCAUACGGUGGAUGCCUUGGCAGUCAGAGGCGAUGAAAGACGUGGUAGCCUGCGAAAAGCUUCGGGGAGUCGGCAAACAGACUUUGAUCCGGAGAUCUCUGAAUGGGGGAACCCACCUAGGAUAACCUAGGUAUCUUGUACUGAAUCCAUAGGUGCAAGAGGCGAACCACGGGGAACUGAAACAUCUAAGUACCCUGAGGAAAAGAAAUCAACCGAGAUUCCCUUAGUAGUGGCGAGCGAACGGGGAUUAGCCCUUAAGCUUCAUUGAUUUUAGCGGAACGCUCUGGAAAGUGCGGCCAUAGUGGGUGAUAGCCCCGUACGCGAAAGGAUCUUUGAAGUGAAAUCGAGUAGGACGGAGCACGAGAAACUUUGUCUGAACAUGGGGGGACCAUCCUCCAAGGCUAAAUACUACUGACUGACCGAUAGUGAACCAGUACCGUGAGGGAAAGGCGAAAAGAACCCCGGAGAGGGGAGUGAAAUAGAACCUGAAACCGUAUGCGUACAAGCAGUGGGAGCCUACUUGUUAGGUGACUGCGUACCUUUUGUAUAAUGGGUCAGCGACUUAUAUUCAGUGGCAAGCUUAAUCGUAUAGGGUAGGCGUAGCGAAAAGCGAGUCUUAAUAGGGCGUUUAGUCGCUGGGUAUAGACCCGAAACCGGGCGAUCUAUCCAUGAGCAGGUUGAAGGUUAGGUAACACUGACUGGAGGACCGAACCCACUCCCGUUGAAAAGGUAGGGGAUGACUUGUGGAUCGGAGUGAAAGGCUAAUCAAGCUCGGAGAUAGCUGGUUCUCCUCGAAAGCUAUUUAGGUAGCGCCUCAUGUAUCACUCUGGGGGGUAGAGCAACUGUUUCGGCUAGGGGGUCAUCCCGACUUACCAAACCGAUGCAAACUCCGAAUACCCAGAAGUGCCGAGCAUGGGAGACACACGGCGGGUGCUAACGUCCGUCGUGAAAAGGGAAACAACCCAGACCGCCAGCUAAGGUCCCAAAGUUGUGGUUAAGUGGUAAACGAUGUGGGAAGGCUUAGACAGCUAGGAGGUUGGCUUAGAAGCAGCCAUCCUUUAAAGAAAGCGUAAUAGCUCACUAGUCGAGUCGGCCUGCGCGGAAGAUGUAACGGGGCUCAAACCACACACCGAAGCUGCGGGUGUCACGUAAGUGACGCGGUAGAGGAGCGUUCUGUAAGCCUGUGAAGGUGAGUUGAGAAGCUUGCUGGAGGUAUCAGAAGUGCGAAUGCUGACAUGAGUAACGACAAUGGGUGUGAAAAGCACCCACGCCGAAAGACCAAGGGUUCCUGCGCAACGUUAAUCGACGCAGGGUUAGUCGGUUCCUAAGGCGAGGCUGAAAAGCGUAGUCGAUGGGAAACAGGUUAAUAUUCCUGUACUUCUGGUUACUGCGAUGGAGGGGCGGAGGAGGCUAGGGCCGCUUGGCCGUGGGUGGCCAAGUUUAAGGUGGUAGGCUGAAAUCUUAGGUAAAUCCGGGGUUUCAAGGCCGAGAGGUGAUGACGAGUCGUCUUUUAGAUGACGAAGUGCUUGAUGCCAUGCUUCCAAGAAAAGCUUCUAAGCUUCAGGUAACCAGGAACCGUACCCCAAACCGACACAGGUGGUCGGGUAGAGAAUACCAAGGCGCUUGAGAGAACUCGGGUGAAGGAACUAGGCAAAAUGGCACCGUAACUUCGGGAGAAGGUGCGCCGGCUAGGGUGAAGGAUUUACUCCGUAAGCUCUGGCUGGUCGAAGAUACCAGGCCGCUGCGACUGUUUAUUAAAAACACAGCACUCUGCAAACACGAAAGUGGACGUAUAGGGUGUGACGCCUGCCCGGUGCCGGAAGGUUAAUUGAUGGGGUUAGCGCAAGCGAAGCUCUUGAUCGAAGCCCCGGUAAACGGCGGCCGUAACUAUAACGGUCCUAAGGUAGCGAAAUUCCUUGUCGGGUAAGUUCCGACCUGCACGAAUGGCGUAACGAUGGCGGCGCUGUCUCCACCCGAGACUCAGUGAAAUUGAAAUCGCUGUGAAGAUGCAGUGUAUCCGCGGCUAGACGGAAAGACCCCGUGAACCUUUACUGUAGCUUUGCACUGGACUUUGAGCCUGCUUGUGUAGGAUAGGUGGGAGGCUUUGAAGCGUGGACGCCAGUUCGCGUGGAGCCAUCCUUGAAAUACCACCCUGGCAUGCUUGAGGUUCUAACUCUGGUCCGUGAUCCGGAUCGAGGACAGUGUAUGGUGGGCAGUUUGACUGGGGCGGUCUCCUCCUAAAGAGUAACGGAGGAGUACGAAGGUGCGCUCAGACCGGUCGGAAAUCGGUCGCAGAGUAUAAAGGCAAAAGCGCGCUUGACUGCGAGACAGACACGUCGAGCAGGUACGAAAGUAGGUCUUAGUGAUCCGGUGGUUCUGUAUGGAAGGGCCAUCGCUCAACGGAUAAAAGGUACUCCGGGGAUAACAGGCUGAUACCGCCCAAGAGUUCAUAUCGACGGCGGUGUUUGGCACCUCGAUGUCGGCUCAUCACAUCCUGGGGCUGAAGCCGGUCCCAAGGGUAUGGCUGUUCGCCAUUUAAAGUGGUACGCGAGCUGGGUUUAGAACGUCGUGAGACAGUUCGGUCCCUAUCUGCCGUGGACGUUUGAGAUUUGAGAGGGGCUGCUCCUAGUACGAGAGGACCGGAGUGGACGAACCUCUGGUGUUCCGGUUGUCACGCCAGUGGCAUUGCCGGGUAGCUAUGUUCGGAAAAGAUAACCGCUGAAAGCAUCUAAGCGGGAAACUUGCCUCAAGAUGAGAUCUCACUGGGAACUUGAUUCCCUGAAGGGCCGUCGAAGACUACGACGUUGAUAGGCUGGGUGUGUAAGCGUUGUGAGGCGUUGAGCUAACCAGUACUAAUUGCCCGUGAGGCUUGACCAU